rnacentral:lncRNA from 1 species
GGAAGCGGUUGUGAUAUACAUGGAGAAGGAGUCUAAACCUGGCUCCUUCUUCCCAGAAAUAGAUGUGGGCCUUUGUGGUUGGAUAUUAAUGAUGUUGGGCAAGCUCAUGCUUUCAUUCCUGUUCUGGAUGAGUUAGCAAGCUUCAGCUGUGGGAGAAAGUACUCCUCCUCUGCCCUCUGUAAUACUGUGAAGCAGCCUGUAUUGUGAGGAUUACAGCAGUCUGCUGGGAGAGGAGAAGAGACUGCGUGUCUGGGUUCUCUCGGCAUGACUCCUCUCGCAGACCAAAUUACCACAGGCACAGGACUUCUUGGACACUGCUGUGGAAUGGUAGAGCACAGCUCAACAGGAAAGGUGGUGUUACACAUCAUGGCUUUGGUAUUUGGUGCUCUGGGCAAAGACUUGCAAGACCAGGAAAAGAAAAUCACCUGUGGCAGCCUGAGCUGGUUCCUGUGACCCAACAGAGAGGUUCCCCCAUGCUCUGCA